UCUAAUGUGGCAGAUUAAGUGUAAUAGAUUUAAACUCUAUAAAUAAAAUAUAUUUUCUUUAGAA
rnacentral:tRNA from 1 species